rnacentral:rRNA from 1 species
UCGCGAGAAGUCCACUGAACCAUAUCAUUUAGAGGAAGGAGAAGUCGUAGCAAGGUUUCCGUAGGUGAACCUGCGGAAGGAUCAU